rnacentral:lncRNA from 1 species
AUGCGCAAAACAGCUCUCCGGCAGUCUGACUCUUCCAGUCCCGAAACAGGCUACAGGCGUGGUGAUACAGGCCCAAAUAUGCGUCAAAAACGAGGAUGGAAUCAACGGCGUCUGCCAUCAAUGGACGCUGAGGAUUUUGAGACCAUUCCAUCAAGUGCUGAAGAACUCUCCAUUUCCUCAGAUGGAGAGGAUGAAGGACAUAACAAAAACGGGGAUAACGAUCGCUAUCAGGUGCAGCUGACGUACGAGUCAGGUACUGCUCAGGAGCUUUCCGUCGAGGCAGGAGAUUUAGUACAGUUCCUAGAAGAGUCGGAGAACGGCCACUGGCUAGUCAAGAACCUUAGAACUCAGAAGACAGGACUGGUGCCGCCCACUGUCCUGCAGUCCACAGCAGAGGGAGUAGACCUUUACAGUAACUCUGAUAUUUUCAGUGACCUCUGCACCGCUGCCCUCACCGAUACAGAGGAGGCAGAUGACAGCACCUGGCCGCGUCCCGCUCAGGACGGCAGAUUUGCAUGCUGAACGCACCGUGAUGUGUCCUCGCUUUCAGUAGCGCCAUGCUUAUACACCAUACUCAACAACAGCUCGAUAUCUUUUAUAAUACUACACAGACAUCUGCUCCGCUGAAGGAAUAGGUGAACUGACCGAUCAGAACUGAUUCCACAUAACAUUGACAACAUUCUGUAGUCGUGAGUCAGAAAUUCAGCAUGCAGCCUUCGCCCUUUCCCUCUGCUGUGCCUUAGCUGCAAACGCAGGGGCAUCUGAAAAGAAAUAUCCGGAUCUCUGUGAACUCCGGACGCUGAUAUCUGAACCGAGGCUGCCAUUUGAAAACACUGAGAAGAAGAGACUCUAGACCUUUCUGUCCUGCUGAAACUUUCACUGAAAUGCUUUUAAAGGGAUAGUUCACUCAAAAAUGAUCAUUUACUCACUAUCAUGUUACUCCAAACCUCUAUGAAUUUCUUUCUUCUGCUAAAGAAGAUAUUUUGAAGAAACAGCCACUGACUUGCAUAGUAUUUUUCAAUGGCUACCAGCAAUUGUUUUCAUUUUUGAGUGAACAGUUCCUUCAAAUAUACUUGAUUGUUUUGUUGUUUAUUGCUUGUUUGCUUAUGAGACUGUUGGUCAGAAUCACAGCACUUUUGAUGAAUUAAUAUUCUCUAAUGUAAUGUACAAUAUUUAUACUCUCUUUUAUAUUCUGACAUGAAAGUUGUAUGAGCCAUCUGUAAAGCUUUGUUCCUCUGCUGUUUGUAAAGCUGAAUAUCUUUAAUCCUCUUCAAAUAUUUGCCUCUAUUCAUUUCUAUCAUGGUCUGGUUGUACAUAAAUAAUCUCGAAACGUAGUAAAAAUGUGGGAUAUUUACUCUGGAGAUGUUUUUAUAUGUAUUUCAGAAAAUAUGAAUGUUGUAGCAUAAAUAUUCCAGCUGUACUGUAAAGCAUCUGAUACUGUUAUUUGAAUUAAUGUUUGUGCUAAACGAAUAUACAGAAAUCAGAUGUACUGUAUCCUUCCUGCUUUGACAUGAAGAACUGGAUGACAGUGAAUGUCGUAAUGAUGCCAAAAGUUUUGUCUCAUAACCGCAGAUAUCCACAUAUGAUUGCGAUUUAACGAUGGUAUAGUUUAAUUACUUUCUGAUAGUUUCUUAAAUUGAAAAUAUCUAAGCACAAAGAUUUGAUAUUGAAUGCUGUUGUGAUUCUUGGUAGUAUCAUCAUUCUGUUCAUUUUUAUGUGAAUAUUUCGAUUUUCACAGCUUCCUUACAGACGAUAUGUAUUAGAUAACUGUACAUUUCCAAAUGCAUAAUCAAAUACAUUCAUUAUAAAACAAUGUCUGUGACUUUGCAUAUGGAGACUAUUAAAGCCAACCUGAUAUAAGUUAGAAACAUCAUGAAGAUGUAAUGAAAUUUUUCAAAUGUUCUCCAUGGACUUCUUCCAAGAAACUUCAGGUUGAAAACUGGCCCAUCAGGCUGUUUUUGGUUGAAAUUAGAAGCUUUUUAAGAGAGUGUGUGACACUAAAGUGUGCAUUUAAAAGAGGAGGACAGAAACGAGAGAGAGGGCCAGGCAAGAUUCACUGGGCUUUGUUCUACAGAGGGUGUCUUUCAAACUCCCAAAAACUCCUGAGGCGCGGAAGAGAAGGAAAGAGAGUGGAGAGAGCAGGACACAAAGACCCAGAGAGAUGUGACAAGCAUUGAAACUGAAUUUUAAAAAAGUGCACUCAAGCUGCCUUCACUUUGUCCUUGGGUUUGGCUUCAGGUGUCUAAAGAUUUUGAAGACACCUGGCAGUCUAUUUAUCAUGAAUCAUUGUCCCCGAAAGCAGGCGGGGCAGAAGAAAGAAGGAGACUUCGGUCAGCAGGAAAGGGAUGAGCGGAGGGCAGGCCGAGUCUCAUUGCUCGGGUUAAAGGAAGUUAAUGGGCUGACAUCACAUCAGGACAAUGCAGGAUGAUGGGUUUAUUUUUAUAACUAUGGCUUUUUUUUUUUUUUUGUGACAAGAAUGUUCAGAUUUAAGAUGUGAACGAAUGAGAAGGAAAAAAAUUACAUUUCAUAAUUGAAUCAUGCAUUCACUUGUUCAAUAAGACAUUGACUUGAUUUAGUUUCAUUAACAACUUAUCAUAAUCUACCAUGGUAAUCAUAGCUUCCAUUAAAAUACUAUUACUACAGUAGUUGCCAUAAUAAACCAUAAUAAAUUAUAAUGGGGUUUUCAAGAGUCGAAGUAUAAGUUGUAUAUAAUAUGGUACGACAUAAAAAUAUAAUAUAAUAUAAUAUAAUAUAAUAUAAUAUAAUAUAAUAUAAUAUAAUAUAAUAUAAUAUAAUAUAAUAUAAUAUAAU